ACAUGCUUCAUGGCACGUAUACUAAGAAAUUGGAAUGAUACAGAGAAGAUUAGCAUGACCCCUGGGCAAGGGUGACACACAAAUUCUUGAAGUGUUCCAUAUUUUA